UAGAUAUCUGGGUCCACAGCAGACACUGAUUCAAACCCUGGGAAGUGGGGUGUGGCAUAGCCACUUCUUUCUGAUGGCUGUCCAUGUUAAAACGUAUUGCUAGUGUGUUUGAUAUUCUGUCUUCCAGGAUAUGAAGUCACAGACUGCUUAAGUCCAUACCAUGUUCUCUUGUUACUGCCUUAAAUACCAGUGUGUUGCAUGGCAUAUCAAAUAGACAAAUCAAUUCCUUCGUGUACGUUUAUCCAGAUAUUCACAUAGUGGCCUCUUUAGUGAACACCUUGUUCCUGCACUGUGAAGACUAGCACGGGUCCUUGUAUAUCGUGUUAGAUAGGCAAACUGUCAGUAAGCAGAAGAAAUCAGUAAUCACAGCAAUUCCGUGUAUUAUUGGCGCUUUAAAGAUCAUAAAGGGGACAGGAAAUAGUUGUGAUGGGGAUUGUCGUAUGUGAUGUUACCCCCAAAGGUUUCAGAAGUUAGCAUGUGAUCUGAGUCCUGAAUGGCAAAUAGAAGCAAGACCGUGCACAAACCAAGUUGUGGGCGUGCUUGCUUCCAUGGAGAACAGUGGAUCUAAGAGCAGAGAACAAGGCUAGUUGCCAGAACCUUGAAGACAACGUGGACACUGCUUGGGGAUAGGACAGAAAGGAAAAUGUUGUCAUUGUCAGCUGUGUAUGACAUUUGGAUUAUAUGAUCUGUGUGGAAGGGUCUGGGUCAUUGGCUGUGCACACACAUCCACAGACAGUACAACAACAGCCUCUAGUCCCUUGUUGCUGACCUUUGGGAAGCUGGGCAUGUAAGGCCAUACAUGAUCUACAGUGUACUUGUAGAGGUCAGAGGACAACUUGCAGGAGUCAUUUCUCUGCUUCCACAAUGUGAGUCCUGGGGAUCCAACUGAAGUCAUCAGAAGCAGUACUCGGGCUUCUAUUACA